rnacentral:rRNA from 1 species
AGCUUUUUUUGUUCGCAAUUAAAGCCGAGGGGACAGUGGCGAACGGGUGAGUAACGCGUAAGUAAUCUGCCCCUGACUGGGGAAUAACUCUCCGAAAGGAGGGUUAAUACCGCAUGUGGUCCCGGUCCGGCAUCGGACCGGGAUUAAAGAUGUGUUUCGUUUACGGAAUAUAUCGGUUAGGGAUGAACUUGCGUCCUAUUAGCUUGUUGGUAGGGUAACGGCCUACCAAGGCUUUGAUGGGUAGCUGGUCUGAGAGGAUGGUCAGCCACACUGGGACUGAGACACUGCCCAGACUCCUACGGGAGGCUGCAGUCGAGAAUCAUCCGCAAUGGGCGAAAGCCUGACGGUGCGACGCCGCGUGGAGGAUGAAGGCCUUCGGGUUGUAAACUCCUUUCACCCGGGAAGAAAAAUCAUCAUGUGAAUAACAUGGUGACCUGACGGUACCGGGAGAAGAAGCCCUGGCUAACUCCGUGCCAGCAGCCGCGGUAAUACGGAGGAUGCAAGCGUUAUCCGGAUU